ACUUCAUGGUUAAGGCAUUGCAUGAGCUUGUCAUUAAACCUUUCCAAUACUUCAUACAAAGGCUCCUCGUUGAGUUGACAAAAAUUUAUAAUUUUUUCUUGCAAUU
rnacentral:snoRNA from 1 species